UCACACACACACACACACACACACACACACACACACACGCACACACAAAGACAUUUUUGAAGCCUCUCGUUUCUCAGAGAGGUUUUAUUUAUAGGCCGCGCCUCAUUGUGAAUGUGAAAAGGAGAAAGCCCAGGCCCUCCGUAGACCUUUCAUGUGUAAAUCAGCCCGGGCCCAGAGCACGGGGGUCACCAGGAGGGGGAUUUCACUCUUAAUUACUCCUGGAGAAAGCGGGCGGGAGGGCGGCCGGGCGCAAGCUCCACCCACGCGGGAGGGAGGCCUCGCCCCGAGCCCCCGGCCGGCCGGGCCCAGCGCUGGGAGCCUGACUCGGCCCGGCGGGGCUGGCGGGGCUGGGGCCGCAUCAGGCCGAGGCGCAGGUGCCUCCGGGGAGCUGGGCCCCAAGUGGGUUUCUUUGGGGGCAAGAUGUUUGGACGUGGAAAGAGGGUACACAGUUUGGCACGUGUAAAAAUAACCUGCUCCAGAAAAGAAGUAUGGAAGUAGUCUCACCAGGCCCUGCACAUUGUUAACCUCUGGGAAUGAACUUGGAGGGAAUUCCCUGGCAGACCAGUGGUUUGGAUCUGUGCUUUCACUUUGAAGACCAAGGGUUCAAUCCCUUCUCAGGGAACUAAGAUCCUGCAGGCCAAGCAGCAUGGCUGACUAAAU